rnacentral:misc_RNA from 1 species
GAUGAAGAACGCAGCGAAAUGCGAUACGUAAUGUGAAUUGCAGAAUUCAGUGAAUCAUCGAAUCUUUGAACGCAUAUUGCGCUCUCUGGUAUUCCGGAGAGCAUGCUUGUUUGAGUAUCAGUAAACACCUCAACUCCCUUUUCUUUUUUGAAAUGGGAGCUGGACUUGAGUGAUCCCAACGCUUUUCUCACCGGGAAGUGGCGGGUUACUUGAAAUGCAGGUGCAGCUGGACUUUUCUCUGAGCUAUAAGCAUAUCUAUUUAGUCUGCCUAAAAACAGAUUAUUACCUUUGCUGCAGCUAACAUAAAGGAGAUUAGUUCUUGUGCUGACUGAUGCAGGAUUCACAGAGACAGCUUCGGCUGACUUUGUAAACUCGAUCUCAAAUCAAGUAAGACUACCCGCUGAACUUAAGCAUAUCAAUAAGCGGAGGA